rnacentral:hammerhead_ribozyme from 1 species
AUCGAUCUGACGAGUCCCAAAUAGGAAGAAACGCUUGUCCUAGAU